rnacentral:rRNA from 1 species
ACGUAGGGUGCAAACGUUAUCCGGAUUUAUUGGGCGUAAAGAGCUCGUAGGCGGAAUUGUAAGUUGGAUAUUAAAUACCCAAGCUCAACUUGGGGAGAGUAUCCAAAACUACUUUUCUAGAGGGAUGCAGGGGAGAACGGAACUUACAGUGUAGCGGUGGAAUGCGUAGAUAUUGUAAGGAACGCCAAUGGUGAAGACAGUUCUCUGGGCAUUUUCUGACGCUGAGGCGCGAAAGCGUGGGUAGCGAUCGG